UAUAUACUCCCUCCAUCCCAAAAUUCUUGUCUUAGAUUUAUUUAGAUAUAAAUGUAUUUAGUCAAAUUUUAGUAUUUAGAUAUAUUCAUUUUUAAACAAAAUUAAGAUAAUAAUUUUGGAACAGGGGAGUACGAG
rnacentral:pre_miRNA from 2 species